CGACAAUCCACCUUGGAUAGCAAGUGAAACUCUCAUAUACUUGCCUGAAGUUAAACCUGACGAAACGUCAGUGAUCCGAUUUAUUUACACCACUCGUCCUUCCUCCAUUGCACACAUUCACCAGACGGAAGAACCAACAUGGAUCGAUAUAUCUCUAAAGAAAGACAUUGAACUGGAUAUUCCUGACAAAAUCGAGAAGAAAAUUAUGAAAAAGGAGGAAAAGAAGAAGGGAACAAGAAAAAAUAACUUAUUUAAAGAUGCCAAAAAAAGGGAGACAGACGGAGGAUAACAAAACUAAAAAGAAACAAACAACAGAUAAACUGCAAAAGGUGAAGAAAUCAACGUUCAGAGAUUUCAUCAAACCACUUUUGUCUUGUUUCCUCAUCCAUAAAAAAGUAGAAGAUUAGACAAGUUAUUUAUUUACAGAUGUCGUCUACAUUCUGUUAUCAUA